rnacentral:lncRNA from 1 species
GUGGCUUUAAUUUGCAUUUUCUUAAUGACUCCUUAUGUUAAGUAUCUUUUUGUGUGCUUUUUGGUCAUGCAUAUAUCUUCUUUGGGGAAGAAUCUAUUCAGAUCCUUUGCCUAUUUUAAAAAGAUUUUAUUUAUUUAUCUAUUUAUUUAUUUAUUUGAGAUUGAGAGAGCACAAACAGGGGGAGUGACAAAGGAAGAUGGGAAGCAGGCUCUCAGCUGAGCAGGGAGCCUGAGGCAGGGCUCCAUCCCAGGACUCUGGCAUCAUGACCUGAGCCAAAGGCAGAUGCUUAACUGAGUAAGCCACCCGGGGUGCCCCUCCUUUGCCUUUUUAAAAAAAUUGGUUUACUUGUCUUCUAUUAUUGAGUUGUAAGAAUUCUUUAUAUACUCCAGAUAGAAGUCCCUUACCAAAUAUAGGACUUGCAAAUAUUUUCCCCCAUUCUGUGGGGUGUGUUUUCACUUUUUUGAAAGUGUCAUCACAAAUUUUUACUUUUGAUGAAGUCCAGUUGAUCUAUUUCCCCCCUUUGGUUGCUUGUGCUUUUGGUGUCAUAUUUAAGAACCAUUUGCCAAAUCCAAGGUCAUGAUGAUUUACCCCUGUUUUCUUCUAAGAAUUUUAUAGUUUUAACUUUUACCUUUAUGCAUUUGAUCCAUUUUAAGUUAAUAUUUUAUAUAGUGUGAGGUAGGGGUCCAACUUCAUCUUUUGGUGUGUCUCAGUACCAUCUGCUGAAAAGGCUGUUCUUUCCUUCACUGAAUUGUCUUGGCAUCCUCCUUAAAAUCAGUUGACCAUAGAUGUGAGAGUUUAUUUAUAAGCUCUCAUUUCUAUUUUCUUAAUGUUUUAUGCUUGUCAUCCAUGUACUAUUCUAAUAUUUGUAUUUUUAUGUUAGAGUACAAAUGACCUGUUGACCAAGGUCAGUGUCAUUUUCCUUAGACUACUAGCUACCCGGCAAACAAUGCUGACCAAACCCACCUUGUGGCCUUUUAACUUAAUGUCCAUCUCUGCCAGCUUCCUCUUAUGUGAAGGCCACAGUUAGGCCAACUGGCUCCCCACACAGCUGAAAUCACCAGAUUUUGGCUCAGUGCUAUCAUUUGCCCUUGGCCAACGUAGACUCUGAUGAAGAGAGAAAUGAGAACAAGUUAAAAGAUAGGAUGAUAAUAUUUUAUAGCGGUUCAUUUCCAUGGAGCAGGGCAAGUGGGGAGUAGGGGAGAGAGAUGGAGAGCAAGAGAGAGGAAAAAGGACUAGAAGGCACUGAGAAGAUGAGAAGGAAUAAAAGGACAAUGGGGAGAAGAAUUGAGGAAGGUAGCUUAUCAAAGUUCUUAUCAAUCACUUGUCUGAGUGUGCCCACAUGUCAGCAUCAGUGUGAGGUAGUCAAGGUGCAGACUUGGGCAGCAGAAAGAUUAACGUCUCAAGAAAAAAAAGAAAAAGAAAGACUCAUGUCUCCAUCCUUACUCUGCUCCCUGCUAGCAGUGAGAGCUGUACAAGUACUUUAACACCAUUAGGCCCCCAUUCCAAGAUCUGUCUGUCGAAGGGGAUAGUAGGAAACUGCCUUUGGAGGGAGCCUGCAAAGAUAAAACAAAUUCCUGCAUGCUUGCUCUUAGCCUAGGACCUGGCACAGGAGGAGCAAUAGCAUUAGCUCAAAUCAUAUGAAAGUUGAAGUACCUCCAACCUACCUCAUCACCAACUGUCUAAAUCAGUGGUUUUCAAACAUAAGUAUAUUAGAAUCUCCUGAAAGGCCUGUUAACAGGUUGCUAGUGCUCAUCUCUAGAGUUUCUGAUUCAGCAGGUCUGGGUGGGGCUUGACAAUUUCCAGUUCUAAGAGGUAUCCAGGUGAUGCCAAUGCUGAGGCCUGAGGAACACACACUGAAAACCACUGGUCUGAAUUUUUGAGGGUCAAGAAAACAAAAUGCCACCCAUUGGCAUCUAUAAUUCUCAAGUGAAAAGGCUUUAAAAAAAAGGCCCUGGUAAUCAGUCCCAGACAUAGACCCUGUGAACCAUUUGAACCUCACUAAUAUCAUCAAAAGGAAAAGUGACUUUAAUUACAAAUUUCUGGAAUGUAAGAAUACAGUCAAGCCCAGUUGCUAUUAUGAAAGAAUCUCUUUCACUUGAAGGAUAACCCCUCAUUUGCUUCGAAAGGAAGAAUGCUGCAGUGAUAAGUAGCAGCACAUGUGUGCUAAAAACAUCAAGACAAGUUGUCUGGAUUAUAGAAUCACGUUCACUGUCAAUGAAAGUGAUACCCUGGAGCCAUUGAGAAAAGCUUCUUUAUCACCCAAACCUCACAACAAAGCAUGCUAAUAAAAUAAUGCUUGCCGAUAUGGGAAAUGCGUAGUCUGUUGCCUUCUUGGGAGGAGCUAUAAAUAGCUCCUUGGAAAAUGUUUUUCCAUAAUUAGCUUUUCACUUCAAGUGAACUAUGUGUGAUGAAUUUCAUAUCACUAAAUGUUCUUCCUGGGCAAAGUACACAGUAGGUUAUGCAUUUGCUAGUCUAGAAACAACUAAUCAAAUAGCAUUUGAGCAGAAGUCCGAGAGCUCAAAAAAAAAAAAAAAAAAAAAGAGAGAGAGAGAAUUGGAAACCACUUUGGGGAUGCCUAUUUGGGGUCCAUGUGCUCUUACUAACAGACACAUGUAGACACAGUAAAUUGCCUCUUCUUAGCUGUUACAGGGGACAUGAGCUGAGAACAGCCAAAGACAAUGGCCACUUGUGUGUCACCCCAGCUGUCUUUCUGCCCUGUGCUAGAAGCAUGCUUCUCGCAUUCACUGGAGAGGCGCAUGUCUCAACAGCUUGCCUCCUGUGCCUUCGUGAAUGCAGCUAGGAGCAAACACCUUACAGAGCUGACGUGAUUUCUUCUACACUGUAUGUGUUUUCACAAUGACUCGAAAAUUGCUUUCAAAUCCUCUCAACUAAUUGCAGGAGCUGAAAAAACCCCUCCCAUCUUUCUGGCAAAUUUACAGCUCACCCACAUUUGCAUCCCUGGAACCUUCCCCUCCACCCCCAGCUCCCAGAACCCCGUACACAAAAGACUUCCAUUCCAGUUUUCUAGUGCAGGGAGUGCACAACACCAGUGUUUCUUCCACAUUCCACAGGCUCACCCAAGAUGGCUGUUAGUUUAAGGUGGAGUGGUUUGAAUACUUCCUUGGAGCACUCACAAUCUGAGCUGAGUAUUGCCCCCCCCCAAAAAAAUAAUCUGGUUCCAAUGAGAAAGACUAACACCCCCAGCUACUACAUUAACCAGAAGCGUGACCAGAGAUAUGAGCUUCCUCCCUGGGUGGAAGGUGGGGGGGUGCUGCACUGGUCCCACUCUCAUGGGCCAAGAGGGGCGCAUGACCAGCGCCCAGACUUUCCUUUUCUCUGCAGGAGCUGGUUCCCUUUCCCAACCCUGUAGCCUAGAGCUGGUUUGAACAUAACAUAUAUUUACAAAAGGACACUCCCAUUCCACUAUCACUAAAGUCCAAACAGUGCCCUUGGCGGGGUGCCAAUAAGCCAAUAACACGCAUAUUGACCCACUGACUUUAUUUCCUUCUAUGAAUUGUCAGGACCAAGCGUUGCUCUUUUGCCAACUCCAAUUCUUCAUCCUGGAGUGCUAUUUCGAGCACUUGGAAGAUAGCCACCUCAGAACGGAAUAAAGAUAUUAGUAACUGGGGUACUGAGAGGGCCAGAGAAAAUGGAGACAAGAAGUAUGAGGACAUGGCAGGCCAUAUGCUUUAGCAUCAGUUCUUAUCCAGCAAGAGCACAGGAAAGUGAAGGAUGCCUCCCAUGCCUCUGCUGCCUCCAAUAGCUUUGUGUCAGCAUCAGGCACAGCUGAGGGCUGGAGUGGGCGGGAGGGAGCAUGGACUUGGCAGUCUUUGAGGAUCAGACCCUGCUCUGCCAUGUAUUUGCCAAGUGACUGAGGGCACCUUGAGCCUCCCUCAAUCAGAUUCCCUGUUACCUGGAAAUCAUAAAUCUUUUUUUUUUUUUUUUUUUUUUUUUUUUUUUUUUUUUUACAGGGCGGUACAAAGAUGAGAUGAGGUAAUGCAAAUAGCUGGCACGUAAAUAUUAGAUGAAUGUUACCUUCUAGUACUGCAAACAUGAUUUACUAAAAUACCAUUUUUUAAAAAAAAAAAA